rnacentral:ncRNA from 2 species
GGACGACGCUCCGAAAAGGCCGGGCGGCAGCGCCCGACCACCGAAGGUGCAACCUCCCAAAGCGGAGGGAAUCUCUCAGGUAACUCAACGGGGCACAAAAC